CCGUAUUUGCAAGCACCGGGGAUUGAUCAAUGAAGGCGUGAUAAAUGGACUGUUGGACCAUCUCGGCCAUCUUGUCCGAGUCCUCGGUGAUUGUGAUCUGGCGGGGAUUUGGAAACGGAGACUUUUUGAUAGUCUCCCCGCUUCUGGAGCGACUGAAAGAUUGCAGGCAAGCCUUUCGGAACUGUGCCGUAUGCUUCUCCAGUUCUUCCUUCUGAUCGUCCUUGAGAUCUGCUUCCGUCACUUCGAUGACGUUAUCU
rnacentral:lncRNA from 1 species